UGUCCAUGACGCCUAGGCAUAC
rnacentral:miRNA from 8 species